ensembl:lncRNA MIR4435-2HG MIR4435-2 host gene
GAGAAUGGCUUUUUUUCCCCUUCAGUGUAGUGCCCUUGAGAUCCAUCCAAGUUGUUCUUCUGAGCUAUGAAGGGGCCCAGAUUUAAGGGCUAUUUUUGACACCCUAAAUGUGCUGAGACAAGUCAUUAAGGUGGUCCUGCCAGGACACAGCCAUCUAAAGCAGCAAUCUGCUUCUUGCCAGAAAAUCUCGUGCCUCUGCAGAGCCUUUUCCAGAAUGAACCACACCAUGCUGAGGAAAGGAGAAAGAGACUACCUACUGCAUUUCUGUCACUCGCUGAAAAGGACACUCUGUCAGAAAAUCUUCUAGCAAACUUCAAAGGGCAAAAUCACCCCUUGUUACUGAUAAAGCCCAGAGAGCUUCAGCAGCUAACAUUCCCUGGACAGGGCACAGCAAGGAUUUGAACCUAGGUCAGUCUGGCCAGAACACCCACAAGCUUUCCUUAACUCAGUGUGCUAUCUCCCCACGACUAGGUCACUACUGCUUUAUAAUCACCUUUGUAGCCACCAGUGGAUUUUGCUCAUCAGUAUUUUUCAGGCAAUUGAUACUUUAGAUAUUCAGCUGCAAGACGUAUGCAGUUUUCAUUGACAUCUUUUGGAGAAACUGACAAACCUGGACUUGACUUAAUGCCUUUGGAACCUUCCAAGAUGUUAUAUAACUCUAGAUAGAAGGCUGGGCCUCCAUGAUGUCAGGAAUGUUGCAUUCUUAUUUCCCCAUAGAUAAACCCAUUUGUCCACAAAGUCAAGGAGUCAGGCAGAGGCCCUUGCCAUGGGGCUUUUUAGGAUAAAGCAACAAGCCUGGACUUUGCUCUACAACAGGGUUUUGCAUAGGGAGUGGUAUGACCAGAUCCCUCAAGAAAGAAAGCUUAGAGACCAGGCCAGAGUCCACUGCAGUAGCCCAGUCAAGAGAGGAUGGUGACUUGGACUUGUAGUAGAGCCAGUUAGAAUGAAAGAAAUUGACACAUUCAGAAAUGGUUUUAGAGAUAGAGUCAAACUGGACCUGAUAAAGAACUAGAGAAGCGGAGUGAGGAUAAAGAGAAGAGCCAUGACUGACUCGGAAGAUUUUGUCUUGAAAAACUUGAGAACUCAAGACAGAGUGAAAUAAAAUCACAUGUGGGAAAAA